UACGUAGGGGGCAAGCGUUGUCCGGAUUACUGGGCGUAAAGCGCCUGUAGGCGGCCUGUCAAGUCCGGCCUGAAAGCCCCCCGCUCAACGGGGGAGGGUGGCUGGAAACUGGCAGGCUUGAGGGCGAAGAGAGGAGGGUGGAAUUCCUGGUGUGAGCGGUGAAAUGCGUAGAGAUCAGGAGGAACACCCGUGGCGAAGGCGGCCCUCUGGCUCGACCCUGACGCUGAGAGGCGAAAGCGUGGGGAGCGAACGGG
rnacentral:rRNA from 1 species